CGGUUUUAUUUCCUAUGCACUGUAUGUCUGUGAUCCACACAGAGAUUUUCUAUAAUAAUUAGGUCUGCGGACUGUGAAUGCCAUUCUAAAGCCUUAAUCUUUCGUGAAGUAGUUCAUGGUUGAUUUUUGAGUAUGGAGUUUUGUUUUUGUCGCGUUCAGAAAUCCAAUCCCUUUUCAGUUUAGGAUUUUUCACUGACUGUG